rnacentral:rRNA from 1 species
AGAGUUUGAUCCUGGCUCAGAACGAACGCUGGCGGCGCGCCUAAUACAUGCAAGUCGAGCGAGAAGGUGUAGUGAUACACUUGUAAAGCGGCGAACGGGUGAGGAAUACAUGGGUAAUCUACCAUCGAGUGGGGAAUAACCAACCGAAAGGUUGGCUAAUACCGCGUACGCCUCCGGAUCUUCGGGUUCGGAGGGAAAGCUGCACUGUGAGUGUAGCGCUCUUUGAUGAGCUCAUGUCCUAUCAGCUUGUUGGUAGGGUAACGGCCUACCAAGGCUUUGACGGGUAGCUGGUCUGAGAGGACGAUCAGCCACACUGGCACUGCGACACGGGCCAGACUCCUACGGGAGGCAGCAGUAAGGAAUAUUGCGCAAUGGGCGAAAGCCUGACGCAGCGACGCCGCGUGGGGGAUGAAGGUCUUCGGAUUGUAAACCCCUUUCGGGAGGGAAGAUGGAGCGAGCAAUCGUUCGGACGGUACCUCCAGAAGCAGCCACGGCCAACUUCGUGCCAGCAGCCGCGGUAAUACGAAGGUGGCAAGCGUUGUUCGGAUUCACUGGGCGUACAGGGUGUGUAGGCGGUUUGGUAAGCCUUCUGUUAAAGCUUCGGGCCCAACCCGGAAAGCGCAGAGGGUACUGCCAGGCUAGAGGGUGGGAGAGGAGCGCGGAAUUCCCGGUGUAGCGGUGAAAUGCGUAGAGAUCGGGAAGAAGGCC